AGGCAAGAAAACAGUGAAGAUUCUCUGGCAGGACGAGCUGCACAGCAACAAGGAACAGGAAAACCUGAAAACUCCAAUAAAUAGAGUGCAGAUGGGUUGAGGUUGGACAACUUGUCUGUUGGAGUCAACUGUUAAUUGCGUGUAAGUAUAAAUAUAGGUCGAGUUAUAGUCCCUGAGCUGCCAUCUUCCCUUGUUCCAAGGAUGAGCAAAUGGUCUUCAUCGCUCUUGCCUCAUCAGUCAAAUUUCUUCUUGUCCAGACCAAGAUUGUUUUUGUUUGUUUGAAAAGAAUUGGUGGUGGAAAGGAAACAACGAUCAUUUCAGGAUUUAGUCUGGUGUUCUUCUGUUUCUUUUUUCUCUCCUGUUACUUCAGCUUCAUCUUUGUUUUCUUUGAUUGGAAUUAACAUAUAUGAAAAUUCCAUUAUUGCGAAGAAAGGCUCCAAUCAAAUGGCAUAUCUUCAAUUGUUUAACACUAUGGAUGCCAAACUUCUAUAUCCUCGUUAAUUGAACUUGUAAAUGUGAUGGAAAUGUCAUAGGAACAGAAUGAAGUAGUAAUUCUAUAGAUAUUACUUCCAGCUAUACAGUUAAUGACCAAGCAA